GAUCAUAGCUCAGGAUGAACGCUGGCGGCGUGCUUAACACAUGCAAGUCGAGCGAAGCACUUAAGUUCGAUUCUUCGGAUGAAGACUUUUGUGACUGAGCGGCGGACGGGUGAGUAACGCGUGGGUAACCUGCCUCAUACAGGGGGAUAACAGUUAGAAAUGGCUGCUAAUACCGCAUAAGACCACAGUACUGCAUGGUACAGUGGUAAAAACUCCGGUGGUAUGAGAUGGACCCGCG
rnacentral:rRNA from 1 species